rnacentral:misc_RNA from 1 species
AAUUGAUUCAAUCAUGGAAUCAUGAAUAGUCAUUGGUUCAGUUGUACAUCGACAUCGUAAUCUAGACCUUUUCUUCUAUAUAUGAUACGUGGAACGGUUUUUCUGAAAAAGUAUUAGCAAGAAAAGAUCUUUAACAUACAUAAAUAAUAUAUAGAUAAUAGAAACAAAUAGAAAUAUGAAUCCGCAUCUUCAAGUGACUCAUAUAGGAUUGAUUAAAGGAUUUCCUACCUUUUGAGUACCAAAAAUUCCACUUACAAGGAAUCAAAAUUUAGUCAAAAUAGUUCUAAUUGAAAUUGUAAAAGUUUCCUAUUUAGACAUCAUUAUUUAAUUUGAAGAAAAUUGGACAAUAAUUAAGUAUCACGUUUGAUCUUCAUAGGAAGAUAAGCCUUCCUUUUUUAAUUGACUCGUCUCUGAUUUAAUUUAAAAUAGAUCAAAGAUAAAGAAGAAAGAAAUCAAAUUUUUUUAUGAGAUGGAUAAAAAAAUUAUGUAAGUUCAAAUUUGAAUCUUUAUUCUGUUCAUCUGAUUACGAAAAUCAAAAUAUAAAAUCAAAUAUUAUAGGGAGGGUUUUUCAUAUCUAUCAGAUAGACUGAACAGUUGUCACUGUUAUAGAUAUUCUAUAAUUCGAAUAUAGAAUUUAUAUAAUUUAAGGGAUCACAAAUCUUUUUCACAAAAACUCAAAAUUUUUUGUUAUUAAAGUUAUUAAAAUAGAACGAUAUAUAUCAUAUAAGCGAUACAUUUCCUUAUUUUCUAUAAAUUGUGUUUAACAUGGGAUUGAGUAAUAUUUCAAUAAUCGACUCUUGUCAUAAAGUGAAUAAAAGGGAUAGGAUAAAUCAACCCUGCCUCAAUCGG